GAAUCCUGCCGCCGCAGUUGUUGCACUUUGCACGCCUGAGGAAUGCACCGACGGGAUUCUCGGAGUGGACGGGAGAGACAUCGCGAGAGAUCGCGCAUUCAAGUGCAUUCAAGUUCAAGUAAUUUUUAUCAUCUUUUCCCAUUCAUGGCCGGCUGGCAUAUACGGCUAGAAGGCCUUAGCAAUUGGCCGAGGAAUGAAUGAUCGUAUUAAAUGUAUGCUCUUGUAUAGUCCCGGAACAAUUUCCGAUAGACAAUACAAUUUUUGACAAUUAAGAUUGUUUUCUAAUAAUCUUAUUGAAAUUGUCACCACGGACUCGAAGAAACUAUAUUAGAGUCAAGAAGUAUAAACAUGUGAUUAUUGUCAGUUUAUAUUUCGGAUUAGCUUAUAUUUAGAUAUAGGCAAUGUAUCCUUGGAGUUUCUCGCGAGAGAAACACGCGAUAGGAAAGAGAGAGAAAGAGGCAGGAAUCAGGCGUAAAGAUUCGUGAGAGGCAUGUGACUCUCUGAUCUUGCGUUUUAUAUUGAACGAUCAAAGGUAAACCGGUUGCGCGUUCUGAAGAGUGAGACAAGAGGAAAGAGGAAAGCAGCCAGUUGAGAGAGAGAGAAGCAAGUAAUGAAAUAAUCUAGGCGCGGCAAACAACAAACCGCAUACGUAUACAUGCACACACUUAUCCAUAAACGCGCAUACAAAUGCACAUACUCGCAAGUGCAGUUUGUAUACACUUGAAUCAUUAAUAUAUUCGAUGUUAUUUAUCAUAUUGCCAUUUUUACUACAAUUGUUUUUUUUUUUUUUUUAAAUACACGUUAUCAGAAUUUAACAAAUCAAACUGUAAAUAUUUUUUAUUUGAAUAAAAGACCGUAUUCUUUGCCGAGUCGAAUAUAAAGAUCUCUAAAUAUUUGACAACAAAAUAGAACAAUUUUGGUACAAAAUGAGUUACAAAAACAUCCAAUAUUUAAACAUACUUUCACGUUAUAGCUAAACAAUCAAUCUCUUCUACAAAAACCAUUACAUUUGUAUUAUGGGAUCAAUCAGAUUUUUCAUUUCGAUAAUCUAAUAAACAGGUGUAACUCUCUUAUCGAUCUUUCAACUGUCCUCGCGCAGAGAGAUUCAAUGGCCGAAAAAUCGAACCCAAUCUCUGCCUCUUUGUGUAUCUUAUUUUAUUUUCUUUCUCUUUCUUUUCCUAUUUAAGAUUGCCCGUCCUCUUGAAUUCAACGCGAGUACAUCUCGCAUUCGUGAAUAUAUCUCGUCAGUGUGGGAAGCCAUCGUAGAGACGAUGUAUCCCGAAUAGUAACAAAGUGUGCGAGUGAAUCGCGAACAUGAUCAAGCAAACUUAUUCAAGGGAAUAAUUUUAAAAGCGACAGAACAUUUGCGCUUUUUUGCAUCUAAUUCAUCAAGGAUUCACUAAGAUAAAACGAUAAUUAAACAUCAACGAUAUCAAAUACCCAAGACGACCAGGAAGAUAUUCAAGAUUCAACAGAGGCGUUGUUAAGCUACUAAUCUUUCAUGUCACGCAUACGAGCUAAGCAGAACAAAAGUAUGGCAGUGAGAGCGCUGAACAGGUGUAACAUUGAAGAGAGACACGAAUUCAUGAUCGUUAAGGAUAUACUCCGUUAAAAAUUACUUCUCCAAAUAAACUAUUUAUUUCAAAGCUACGUUAAAUAUCGUACAUUUCCAAAUAACGUAAGAGUUAAAACUCGAAUUCGCGCUUUACUUGCGAUCCAAUCUCGAUAAACAUGGUACGUGUUUACAUCAAGUCGUUCUAUAUUUAGCGCGCUAUUCCCAAGAAGUCGGGCUGAGAAGUUUGAACGGAAACACAGUUAAUAGGAGGAGACUCUCAUCCAUAAAGAUACGAUACUAAGAAGGAAAAUUGAAUGAACGUCCAAAUGUCACUCGUCUUCCGAAUGAGAAAGAUACAGAAAGAGACAGGAUAGAGAAGUCGAAGAUGAAAGAGGACGUCCGGAAUAUUCUCCUUCUGCAGGUAGAACAAAUACUUGGGACUUUUUCGGCGAAGGGGAUUAAGGACCUUCUAAUUAGGGGUACGAUGACGAUGUCAAAAAGCGCGAAGGAUGCCCGAAGGAAUAUGAAAUUGGUCUAACCCAGGCGUCCUUGGCACAAAAGCGAGCGAACGACAAAUACAAUUUUUCUUUUAUGCUUUAUUAUUCAUAAUGUGAAAAUGUUCAAGCCUUUGCAAGCUUUUUAAAAUUUGAAUUUCAAUAUAUUGCGUUCUCUAAUAUUUCCUUAAUUUUUCCCAUAUACAUCCUAGAUUAGAAUAACAUAAAAUUCCAGAUAAUUAUUAUGGAAUAAAUAUAUA